rnacentral:rRNA from 1 species
CGUGAGAUGUUGGGUUAAGUCCCGUAACGAGCGCAACCCUUGUCCAUAGUUGCCAGCGAGUAAUGUCGGGAACUCUAUGGAGACUGCCGGUGACAAACCGGAGGAAGGUGGGGACGACGUCAAGUCAUCAUGGCCCUUAUGAGCAGGGCUACACACGUGCUACAAUGGCCGGUACAAAGGGUUGCCAACCCGCGAGGGGGAGCUAAUCCCAAAAAACCGGUCGUAGUCCGGAUUGGAGUCUGCAACUCGACUCCA